UCAUCGUGAUUUUCAAAAGGUUAUCUCAUGAGUGAUUAAGUUUAAAGGUGAGAAACAAUGGGAAAACCCUUGGCUCUAGGAAACCCAAGGCUACCAACUCAUUUUUAAAGGGAUUAAGGCUUCCCAAAUUAAAGUUAAAGGCUGCAAAUCAAAUGUUUGGGUAAGGAAAUCUUCAUUUAAGCUUUAAAAUAAAUUAAAAAUUAUUUUAAGUUCAAAGAAUUAAUACCAUGUGAAUUUAUUGUGACUGAUUUGGUACUACGAGAUUGGAAAAGUAUUAAGGUUGUGCAUUAUUGAAGUUAGACCACCAACAAGGUAAGGUGGAAUGAAGUUGGAUGUUGGUACUUAUUUAUCAAAGUAUGAUUUACUAGAGAAGUAUGUGCCUAGGAAGGGUGAGCUUGUGAUAUUGACUUAGUAUGAAUUAUUACAAAGGGAUUUGAAAGAGAAGGACUCACAGGAAAUUUGUCAAACUUGUGGCCUAGUGCUAAGAAAUUUAUUGUUAAGAGUACAAAGGUGAGGAUAAGUUGGUUGCAAUUUGAAAUUUAAUGCAAAUGUGCUUGCUAGAAAAAUGUAUAGAUAAUGUUAUAAUUGAAAUUAUACUAAGAGAUUGUGUGAUAUUGAUCGCUAAGUGUGAUUGUGCUAAAACUUAAAUUGCUAGGAAAAAAAUGAAGAAGAUUCAGGUGAUGGUGAUUUUCACCUGCUGAAAAUUUCCUAGUCAACACAUUUCAUUAGCGUGAGUAGAAAUAUUGGUGAGAAUUCCCACCAAAGGAGGGGCGUGAGCAAUACCUUUUAAAAUAUACUAUGGAUAUUGCUACUAUAAGUGCAUAACUACAAAUAUGCUUACUGUUUUUUAUUGACAUUAGAAUGCUACGAAUUAUAUUUUAUCUAUUGAAGUGCCAUUGGGAAGCAUGAGUUGCUAGACAAUUAGGCCUAUUUUUUGUUACCUUACUCUGUUCAUCAAUUUGCAAGAAUAACUAUACUAUGAGUUGUUUUAUAACUACGAGAAACAAGUCCUUGAAAAUAUUAAAUUUCCAUUCUGUUUUGAAAGUCUUAAAAACCAUUUGAAUCUAUACAAUACUUGCAUUCAAUAGGCCAUAAGGGUGUCCAUUUAUAAAUAUUUUAAAUUUGCUUAUUUGGUAAUAUUAUGAUGUUUGGAUGAAAUAUAAAAUUAUGCCAUGCUC
rnacentral:lncRNA from 1 species